GAUACCCUAUUAUUUUAGAUGUUAAUAUGUAUCUAAAUUUAUUAUUAGUUAAGUUCUUUAAAAUUAAACAAUUUGGCGGUAUUUUAGUCUAUUCAGAGGAACCUGUUUUUUAAUUGAUAGUCCACGAUAAUUUUUACUUUAGUUUUAAAUUUAUAUAUCGUCGUUAUUAAAAAUUUUGGGAGGAUUUUAAUUUUUAAUAUUUUUUAUUAAGGUUUAAUUCAGAUCAAGGUGUAGUUUAUAUUGAAGUUAAAAUGGGUUACAUUUCAUUUAUGAGUGGUUCUUUUUUUUAAAUUUUUAGAUAAAUUGGAUUUGAUAGUAAAUUCUUUAUUUUGUAGGAUUGAUUUAGCUCUAAAAUAUGUACAUAUCGCC
rnacentral:rRNA from 1 species